rnacentral:misc_RNA from 1 species
GAUGAAGAACGUAGCGAAAUGCGAUACUUGGUGUGAAUUGCAGAAUCCCGUGAACCAUCGAGUCUUUGAACGCAAGUUGCGCCCGAGGGCACGCCGAGGGCACGCCUGCCUGGGCGUCACACGUCGUUGCCCCCCACCAUCUACUCCUUCGGGAUUGCGGGGGGCGGAUGAUGGCCUCCCGUGCGCCUAGCCGCGCGGUUGGCAUAAAUACCAAGUCCUCGGCGACGCACGCCACGACAAUCGGUGGUUGCGAAACCUCGGUUGCCCGUCGUGUGCGUUCGUCGCGCAUCGAGGGCUCGAAAAAAUGCUCGGCUCCGGCUCGGCUUUCAACGCGACCCCAGGUCAGGCGGGGUUACCCGCUGAAUUUAAGCAUAUCAAUAAGCGGAGGA